GACCCCAUGGUGUCCUGUACUUUGGAGCUUUUCCCUUUGGCUCAGGAAUUAACCCGAGGACUCCUCGUCAGUGUGGGCUUGGUUAUAUGACAGUAACUUGUUAGAGAAUGUGCCUGUAGGUUUAGGGUUAUCGAGAGGCUGUUGUAGAAGUAAAACCUCCUUGAGGAAUAGGAUUCUUUUAACCUUCCUCACGGAACGGGGUUCUUUUACUCAAUCCAUUGUGCAAGUUUAGUGUAAGGCUUUGAUGCUCAACUCCAGAUGGUUAGUAAGUAAGUAUGCACAUGUAUAGCUGAUUAUAAACUAUAUGAGUGAGUUAAAAUCAGCUUUUUAUUUGUUGGUGAACUGGGAUGAACUAGGAUGAUGUUAGAAAUUGCUGGGGCACCAAACAAAUAAUACAUGUGGUUUUCAACAAACUUUUGAAAAUGAGUCAAUGGAUUCACUUUAAUCUGCUUUGCUUUCAUUACAGUGUGUGAAUAAUUCCGCAACUUCUCAUUUGACCCUGUUAGUAUUUAGCCAAAUAUUUAUGGAAUGCCGACUGUGUUCUAGAUUCUGGGGCUACAGUUUCCAUUGAGACCAUUGAUGUCUCUUGUGGCUCAUAGUGAAUGAUCCACCUCAAAGUAUCAGGUCUGCAGUUUACCACAGUGACUUAGAAAGCAAAGGGGAGUCUGUCUUUGCCUUGGCAUACAUGCUCUAAGCACUUCCAGAAACAGUCUCCAUUGGGUAACACAGGCUGUGUAGGGAGUGGAGUUGAGUCCAAUCCACGAUCCAGCAGAGAGCUUCAGCCCAGGUUUUCUUUAGAGCCUUUGCUACACACAAAGUUGGCUGAUGUGCCAUUCAGCAUCCCAGCAGCUCUUUCUCCUCACACUAGCAAUGGCAAAGCUUUGUGCGGAGGCAUUGCUGGCUGCUCUGAACUAAAACCGUCCGUGGGGACCGUCAGAGGUUUUUUGAACACCUUAUUCAGGUAGGCAACUGUGUGCC
rnacentral:lncRNA from 1 species